rnacentral:rRNA from 1 species
ACUGCUCAGUAACACGUGGAUAACCUACCCUAAGGAAGGGGAUAACCUCGGGAAACUGAGGAUAAUACCCUAUAGGUUACAGACGCUGGAAUGCCCUGUAACCGAAAGCUCCGGCGCCUUAGGAUGGAUCUGCGGCCGAUUAGGUUGUUGUUGGGGUAACGGCCCAACAAGCCGAUAAUCGGUACGGGUUGUGGGAGCAAGAGCCCGGAGUUGGAUUCUGAGACAUGAAUCCAGGCCCUACGGGGCGCAGCAGGCGCGAAAACUUUACAAUGCGGGAAACCGUGAUAAGGGAACCCCGAGUGCCUGUAUAUGCAGGCUGUCCAGGUGUCUAAAAAACACCUGAAGAAAGGGCCGGGCAAGACCGGUGCCAGCCGCCGCGGUAAUACCGGCGGCUCGAGUGGUGGCCACUUUUAUUGGGCUUAAAGCGUUCGUAGCUGGGUUGUUAAGUCUCUUGGGAAAUCUGACGGCUCAACCGUCAGGCGUCCAAGGGAUACUGGCAAUCUUGGAACCGGGAGAGGUGAGGGGUACUUCGGGGGUAGGAGUGAGAUCCUGUAAUCCUCGAGGGACCACCUGUGGCGAAGGCGCCUCACCAGAACGGCUUCGACAGUGAGGGACGAAAGCUGGGGGAGCAAACCGGAUUAGAUACCCGGGUAGUCCCAGCCGUAAACGAUGCGCGUUAGGUGUAUCGGUGACCACGAGUCACCGAGGUGCCGAAGGGAAACCGUGAAACGUGCCGCCUGGGAAGUACGGUCGCAAGGCUGAAACUUAAAGGAAUUGGCGGGGGAGCAC